GACGAACGCUGGCGGCAUGCCUAACACAUGCAAGUCGAGCGAGUGAGUUCUUCGGAACGAUCUAGCGGCGGACGGGUGAGUAACACGUGGGCAACCUGCCUCAUAGAGGGGAAUAGCCUCCCGAAAGGGAGAUUAAUACCGCAUAAAAUUAUCGAGUGGCAUCACAUGAUAAUCAAAGGAGUAAUCCGCUAUGAGAUGGGCCCGCGGCGCAUUAGCUAGUUGGUGAGGUAACGGCUCACCAAGGCGACGAUGCGUAGCCGACCUGAGAGGGUGAUCGGCCACAUUGGGACUGAGACACGGCCCAGACUCCUACGGGAGGCAGCAGUGGGGAAUAUUGCACAAUGGGGAAACCCUGAUGCAGCAACGCCGCGUGAGUGAUGAAGGUCUUCGGAUUGUAAAGCUCUGUCUUUGGGGACGAUAAUGACGGUACCCAAGGAGGAAGCCACGGCUAACUACGUGCCAGCCGCCGCUGUAA
rnacentral:rRNA from 1 species